GGGUAACUGAAAGAGAGUCGUGGUUGGGGUAAGGAGAUUUGUAAGCAUUAAGAUUCGUUAAAUCGAAGGGGUGAAAUCCGAUAAACAAUAGCGUGAUUUGGUGUGAGAAAAGAUUCUGACGCUCUAGAGUCCGAGGCUUAAAAGAGGAUUAGAUACCCUUCUAUGCUCGGUUAUAAUGGUAGGAUCUUUGAGUAGUAAACAGGUAUAAUCUCGAAACUCAAAGGAUUUGGCGGUAUCUAAGUCUAGUUAGAGGAACUUGUGCAGUAAACGAUAAUCCCCGAGUAUCUUGUCUCAUCUGGUGUUCUCAGUUUGUAUACCGCCAUUAUUAGGUAAUUUUUACAGAAAAUUAUCGGGAUUAAGUUAGGUUAAAUAUAUUAGGUCAAGGUGCAGCUCAUGGUGAGAUUGUCGUGAGUUACAGUGAUAUAAGUGGCAUACGAAUGGGUCUAGGGAUUUAGAUUCUGAAGGUGGAUUUAAUAGUAAGAGUUAUAAAUUAAACAAGUCUGAUAGGAGCUCUUAGAUAUGUACACAUCGCCCGUCGUUCUCACUUU
rnacentral:rRNA from 1 species